GGAGGGUUGGCCGAGUGGUUAUGGCGGUGCAUUCAAGUUUUGAAACAUAGACUUGCUCAGACGAAUUGAGUCGCACUUCGAAAGAGCAAGGGUUCGAAUCCCUUACCCUUCA
rnacentral:tRNA from 1 species